rnacentral:rRNA from 1 species
GGACGAACGCUGGCGGCGUGCUUAACACAUGCAAGUCGAACGGAAAGGCCCUGCUUUUGUGGGGUGCUCGAGUGGCGAACGGGUGAGUAACACGUGAGUAACCUGCCCUUGACUUUGGGAUAACUUCAGGAAACUGGGGCUAAUACCGGAUAGGAGCUCCUGCUGCAUGGUGGGGGUUGGAAAGUUUCGGCGGUUGGGGAUGGACUCGCGGCUUAUCAGCUUGUUGGUGGGGUAGUGGCUUACCAAGGCUUUGACGGGUAGCCGGCCUGAGAGGGUGACCGGCCACAUUGGGACUGAGAUACGGCCCAGACUCCUACGGGAGGCAGCAGUGGGGAAUAUUGCACAAUGGGCGGAAGCCUGAUGCAGCAACGCCGCGUGCGGGAUGACGGCCUUCGGGUUGUAAACCGCUUUCGCCUGUGACGAAGCGUGAGUGACGGUAAUGGGUAAAGAAGCACCGGCUAACUACGUGCCAGCAGCCGCGGUGAUACGUAGGGUGCGAGCGUUGUCCGGAUUUAUUGGGCGUAAAGGGCUCGUAGGUGGUUGAUCGCGUCGGAAGUGUAAUCUUGGGGCUUAACCCUGAGCGUGCUUUCGAUACGGGUUGACUUGAGGAAGGUAGGGGAGAAUGGAAUUCCUGGUGGAGCGGUGGAAUGCGCAGAUAUCAGGAGGAACACCAGUGGCGAAGGCGGUUCUCUGGGCCUUUCCUGACGCUGAGGAGCGAAAGCGUGGGGAGCGAACAGGCUUAGAUACCCUGGUAGUCCACGCUGUAAACGGUGGGUACUAGGUGUGGGGUCCAUUCCACGGGUUCCGUGCCGUAGCUAACGCUUUAAGUACCCCGCCUGGGGAGUACGGCCGCAAGGCUAAAACUCAAAGGAAUUGACGGGGCCCCGCACAAGCGGCGGAGCAUGCGGAUUAAUUCGAUGCAACGCGUAGAACCUUACCUGGGUUUGACAUGGAUCGGGAGUGCUCAGAGAUGGGUGUGCCUCUUUUGGGGUCGGUUCACAGGUGGUGCAUGGCUGUCGUCAGCUCGUGUCGUGAGAUGUUGGGUUAAGUCCCGCAACGAGCGCAACCCUUGUUCACUGUUGCCAGCACGUUAUGGUGGGGACUCAGUGGAGACCGCCGGGGUCAACUCGGAGGAAGGUGGGGAUGACGUCAAGUCAUCAUGCCCCUUAUGUCCAGGGCUUCACGCAUGCUACAAUGGCUGGUACAGAGAGUGGCGAGCCUGUGAGGGUGAGCGAAUCUCGGAUAGUCGAUCUCAGUUCGGAUUGGGGUCUGCAACUCGACCUCAUGAAGUCGGAGUCGCUAGUAAUCGCAGAUCAGCAACGCUGCGGUGAAUACGUUCCCGGNGCU